rnacentral:rRNA from 1 species
CCUACGGGAGGCAGCAGUGAGGAAUAUUGGUCAAUGGGCGUAAGCCUGAACCAGCCAAGUCGCGUGAGGGAUGAAGGUUCUAUGGAUCGUAAACCUCUUUUAUAAGGGAAUAAAGUGUGGGACGUGUCCUGUUUUGUAUGUACCUUAUGAAUAAGGAUCGGCUAACUCCGUGCCAGCAGCCGCGGUAAUACGGAGGAUCCGAGCGUUAUCCGGAUUUAUUGGGUUUAAAGGGUGCGUAGGCGGCCCUUUAAGUCAGCGGUGAAAGUCUGUGGCUCAACCAUAGAAUUGCCGUUGAAACUGGGAGGCUUGAGUAUGUUUGAGGCAGGCGGAAUGCGUGGUGUAGCGGUGAAAUGCUUAGAUAUCACGCAGAACCCCGAUUGCGAAGGCAGCCUGCCAAGCCAUGACUGACGCUGAUGCACGAAAGCGUGGGGAUCAAACAGGAGUAGAUACCCCGGUAGUC